rnacentral:rRNA from 1 species
GACGAACGCUGGCGGCGUGCUUAACACAUGCAAGUCGAACGGAAAGGCCUCUUUCGGGGGGUACUCGAGUGGCGAACGGGUGAGUAACACGUGAGUAACCUGCCCUUGACUUUGGGAUAACUUCAGGAAACUGGGGCUAAUACCGGAUAGGAGCUCCUGCUGCAUGGUGGGGGUUGGAAAGUUUCGGCGGUUGGGGAUGGACUCGCGGCUUAUCAGCUUGUUGGUGGGGUAGUGGCUUGCCAAGGCUUUGACGGGUAGCCGGCCUGAGAGGGUGACCGGCCACAUUGGGACUGAGAUACGGCCCAGACUCCUACGGGAGGCAGCAGUGGGGAAUAUUGCACAAUGGGUGGAAGCCUGAUGCAGCAACGCCGUGUGCGGGAUGACGGCCUUCGGGUUGUAAACCGCUUUCGCUCAUGACGAAGCUUUGUGUGACGGUAGUGGGUAAAGAAGCACCGGCUAACUACGUG